AAGCCCUGAAAAGGAAAUAGUCAGUGCUGCCAGAUGAAUUUAAAGAGUCUCGAAGAGCGUCAUGGAUAUGUAUCGCGGCAUUAACAUUACGCAUUAUCGUUUCUCGGCGGUAAUCACUGCCUGGAUCAAGCAGAAUGGAAUAGACCUUCAAGUACAGCUUCAGUCCCCAUCGUUACAGCGAAUAUAUGUCCGACGUACACAUGUACAGACCUGGUAAUGACUUGAAAUGGUUAUCUUGCACCACAGGACGCGUAAGAAGCUCGUAGAUUCUGACAAUGGCAAUGGACCGAGAAUCGUAAACAGCACAAAUAUCUAAGAAUUGGUAAGUAUAAAGUUCUUCCGUAAGGUCACAUCAAGGUCAGGUUAGCGCCGAUAGGCGGAACGCGGGUCCGGGUUCCAGAACUGUUCAGUCACUGCGGGCAGUCAUUGCACUAACUGCGACCUUGGAACUACUUU